CGCUAAAAAAAUUUUUAACGAGUUAGCUCUUGAGGGGUUUAGUGGUGUAGUGAUUAGAGGGGGUGACUAGUUUUAAGGGAUAGGGUACAUACAUUGUGAAUUAGACAUGAUCCUGGAGGUGAGCUAUGUGCACAAGACUGUGGAUCACAAGUUAGAAAUAGGAGAUGUGGCUAUUGAUUACCAGCCUGGUUAUAUAAAAUAUGUUAAUUUUGAUAUUUUGUAUAUUUAAUUAAUAAGUGUAGAAAAUCCUUUUAUGUAAUUUCCUUAGCGCCGCUUUUUCUUUUAUAGCUUCAAUAGAAUCAAGUCUUGUUCGUUUUAAUGGAGAUUUGACCUUAGGAAAGAGGUAGAAGUGGCAUGGUGCACAAUCCGGGCGAGUAAUGAGGGUGGUCUAACCUGGGAUAUUGUACUUGGUUAGAAACCUUUGUUGACAGUGCGGAAUUAGAUUCAGCAAUCGCACGUAUACAUAGCUGACGGUCAGUUCGAACAAGAUUACCGACUUUUUCUUCCGUGAAAGUGCGACCCGAACGUGAAUCGUCCUCAAAAUUUUCUUGAAAACGCUUAAACCACUUAAAAAACGUUACAGUGAAACUGCAUCACAAUUCGUUACUCUAUUUCGUCGAUCAUUUUAUGGCAACCACUGUAGACACCGCAUUCGAAAGUGUAGGUUUCAGACUAAUCAACUGACAGUCGUUGACGUUUGGCGCAUGCGUACUUUUUCUCUAGCAGAGCUAGUCUCUUACCUAACAGCCACAACUAGUAUGGUAUAAAUUUCAUUAUAUUUACAAAAUUUUUUCGAAAAGCUGAGAACCAAUGGGUCAUAUAUGGACAGUUGCUAAACUGCAGAAAAGAAAUGAAAUUAUUUUUUUUUUUCUAAAUAAAGCAACUGUAGAUUAUCACUUAAUUGCUUUAAAUCCACCGUUCAUUGAACAUUACUUAAUAGCAUUAAACGCGUACGUACCAAAAAUUGUUCGAAAAUAUUACAUUCAAAAAAUUGAUUUUGAUUUCCUUAAGUCGGACCUGGGUUGAUUUUAGCCCCAGUUCAUACUAAGUGUAGAGAUGGGAAAAUCCCCUCCUUUUUUCAAUUGAUAAUGGUAGAGAUUGAAAAAUCUCAACCAGUUCAUUGUAUUGAAAACAGAUGGAAAACUUGUUCAUUUUGUAAAUGUAGGGAUGGGAAAACUUAUUCAUUUUUAAUUGUAGAGUCGGGAAGGAACCUGUUCAUACAUGUAGAGAUGGGAAACUUGUUUAUUUUAUAAAAUAGAGAUGGGCAAAUCUGUUCUUCAAUAGUAGAAUUUGAAAGAAACCUAUUCGUUUAUAAGUGUAGAGAUGAACAAACUUGUUCAUUUCUAAGUAGAAAAUAUUGUUCACUCUUCAAGUGUAGAGAUGGAAAAACCUGCUCGUUUAGAAAUUUGAAAAGAACAAAAAAACUUUCCAGUCUGUAACAGUAAAGUGAAAAACCUGUUCAUUAAUAUAUGAAGAAAUAGAAAAACCUGUUCAUUUUUUAAUUGUACAGUUGUAAAGAAACCUGUUCAUUGAUAAGUAUGAGGAUUAAAAAACUUGUUCAUUCUUUAAAUUUAGAGAUGGAGAAAUCUGUUCAUUUGAAAGUGUAGAUCAAAAAUCUGUUCAAUCUGUAACGGUAAAGAUGGAAAAACUUGUUCAUUUUCCAAAACUGUGAUUGGAUUAACCCGAUCAUGAUCUGAUUAUUUGGAAACUAACCCGAAUCACGUUUAUUGUUGUUAUAAGUGUAGAGAUGGAAAUUUUGUUAAUUUUGAAUUAUAGAGGUGGAUUUAAGCACUGCCUGUUACUAUAGAAAAUUCUAUGAAGAUCGCAAAAGGAAAAAAUAGAUUUAUGAUAUUGAAAUAAAUUUGUUUUAGGUUUACUUUCUUCUUAGAUGUCAAUUUAAUAUAAAUAUACAUACAGAUAUAUACACAAAUUGUUUUUUCGGUUCAUUCUACUAUAAUAAGCUAAUCAGCUUUAUAUUACAAAGUUUUAUCGCAUUGUUAAAACUAUUUACACUUUUGUAGUAUACUAUUCACAAAUAUUAAUUACAUCGUUCUUCAUAAAUUAUAUCUAGUGUAUUCCUCCAACACUCAAGGGAGUGCAUAGGGGGGAAGUAGAUACAAUUAACGCAACACAAAUUUAAUCCCAAUACUUUAGGCCUUGAGUCAUAAAAUUAUUGUCAUAUAAAUGAUCGAAAUCCUCUUAUUUGAGGUUUAAAAGUAGAGGGUUGUAGCGAAAUUUGAUAAAAACUUCAAAAAUAGUUGUCGAAAAAUCUUGCAAAAACAACAAAGUGAUUGGAAUUGAAAAAAAAAAGAUUUAGAGAACAGUUUUCCUAAUUAAAAAAAAUAACAACUUCCGGAUUUCAUAAGCUAGGGUUUUAAUGACCAAAACUUGAAAUUUUUUCGAUUUUUUAUGUAGUUUAAAGAUGAUCCAUUAAGCAAACAUCAUAAUCAAGUCCGCAAUAAAUCAGAACCACCGGAUUUAACACAUGCUGUUAUAUAUAAAGUUACUGGACUAUACAGGAAAAAAAAAACAAGAGAGAGGAAGCUCAAACAAAUAAUGUACAGAUUUUGCAGACUAUUUAGAACCUAAUUUUCGGGCUCUGACUUAUUAGUUGUGGGAUAUAAAAGACAUUAGCUAUAAUGAAGCUUGAUAUUAAGAUAUAUUCCAAUCAUGUACGAGAAUUCAGAGAUAAUAAUAUCUACACUAAGAAAAAGAUAGUUAAGGGAACGAAGGAUUUGCAAAUAUGAAGAAUAAACAAUAUAAGUGUACAAAAAAACAUAAUUCAGCUAGAACAUUCCACCACAAAUAACAUUCAUUCAAUAAUUGAAAUAGAUCAAUUGAAAGACAAUAAACUUAUGAUAUAGCUAAAGCGUUUGACAAAUUAUGAUAUCAAUACCUGACAAAUAAACCAAACAAACUAUUUCCUGGAUGAAAUAUUACACCAGGGAGUUAAAAUAGAAAAUUAGUACUUUGGACUAGAUAAUGUUAUAGGGACAGUUGUACUAUUAGUUUGUGAGUUAUAGCCAUAGACAAAGUAAAACUAGACUGCGCUUUCAAUAAAAUUUGUGUUCACAUAUUAGAAGACGAAACUAUAAAGCUACCUCUGUCAAGUGUUCCUUUUAUUUUCUUGUACAGUACUCUUUCCACUGUUAUAUAUCACCAAUCACCGCACAGUGGAACAAAGAUAGCUCUACCUUUGACCAGUGGCUGUUUCUUUUUAAAAUUGGCACAACUCUUCAAUAUAGCAAUUAUAUAUUACAGCAGUCUAGAAUUACUAUGUCUAUGGUUAUAGCAUUUUAAGUGAAGCAAUUUUUGUUAGUUUGAAAAAAUUAAUUAAGCAUUAAAUUUUGGCAAAAACUACUAUUGAAUAACAAUACUUGACUUUAUAACAUUAUUUGGACUUUGUUCUAGGAAAAUCAAUAUUUGAAUUUAAAACAAGGCGAAAUUAGCAUCGAAGUAGAAGGAUGCAAAGAAAAGUUGAUUGAAAUAGCUGAAGCCAUAAAGAUAUCAAAGAAACAUAUUAGACAUAGAUGAAACAUGUUUCCAUCAUUAGACACCGGAGCCUAAACGCACAAGUCUGCAGUUUCACAGUAAUGGAUGUUUCGAUGAAGGGGAAUCCUGUGAAUUUUUUUUUUAUAUAAAAAGGUGCCUUGGUAGCCAAUUCCGAAGACUUGCACUUCUCCAAAGAAAGAAAUCCAGAUAAAUUGCAGAUACUAUUCUAGUUGGGAUUAUGUUGGACAGUAAUAUCAGUAAAACAGGGUAAGGUCAUCGACCUUUCUUCUAUGCUCUAAGCUAUCAAGUUUCCGGAAAACUCUGGAUCGCCUAUAAAUCGAAUUGCUCUCUUCUGUAUUGAAUCGACAUCCUCAUGGUCUCCAAAUAUAAAUGAAUUUGGGGCUUGUAAAGGAUUAGAAGCUGUUGCGGAGUAUAUAGCUUUUUGAGCUUCAAGUUUUUGUAAAGCUGCUUUAGCUAAUUCAGCUAUGUAACUAUGCCAGGACAUAUUACUCCCAACCUCAACACCCAGCAAGCGAAUUUGUAAUGAUGGUACUAUUUUAUGUUCAAACAGGACCAAAUCUGAGCCAAAGUACCAGUCUUCUUAGUAAAAACAACCACCUGGGUCUUUUCUGCUUUCAGCUCAGUCAGAUUGCUCCCAUUCUACCCCAGAAUGUUUCCAAGAUCGGUAUUGAUGGUGGCGAUCUGUUCCUGCCUGCAGAGUUGGGUGACGACGACGUCGACGACACUAUUGUACUAUCGGCGGUGAAGCUAUUUAUCUGGUUUGCAGUUUUGCCAAGUAGAUCGUUGAGAAAGAGAGUAGAUGACAAGAUGCAUUCCUUGGGGAGCACCAGCUCAAAUCUUUCUGAGGUGUUUAAAUCAAUAGAAACUUACAUGGUUCGAUCCACGAGAACACUACUAAGCCAGUCGAUAAAUGAUUUGUUUAGAAGGUUAGCAUGUCAAACCCCUUCAAAAGCGUUCGAUAUGUCAAGUGCGAUUCUUCAUAUUUCUCUAUAGCUUUGGUGACACACGCUAGGAAAUCUCCGGUUGAUUUAUGUUUAUGGUCACUUAGCAGACUCAAGAUUUGUUGGUUAACGAUUUUCUCCCUGACCUGAACAAUGGCUAGGACUAAAACAAUCUGACGAAGACUCGUAUGAGAAUUUUUUUUAAGUCACAGCUCACACACGUCAUCUACUCACUCCCGAUUUUUUUGUAUCAAGUCCCGGAACACCUUGAAUUAUUAUUAUUAAUGUAAAGAUGGAAAGUGAAGAUUCCGAGUUUGAAAUACUGAAGAAAUUAUAGAAAACGCAAAUGUUGCAGCAUUAAAUUUUUUUCCAGACAAAUCCAAAGAAAUCUAUCUAAAGGAAUAUAACACUUUUAUGAAAUAGAGGAACCAGAAUAAUAUUAUUUUGAAGAAAAGUCUAAAAGAUUCAGUCCUCUAAACUAUUUUAAACUAAAAGCAACUUAAAUUAUAUAUGAUAAUGUAGAUUUAUGUAAAGAUGCCAAAUUAAUGACAUUUCUGAAACGAAAAUCAGUCGGGUACAAACCUUAAAAAAAUCUAAUAUGUUCUUAAGAAAGGAUAUAAAAAAGUUUUUAUUUAAUGAUCCAGAUGACAAAUAUUUAUUAACUGGAGGUUACCGAAGAGAAGAGAAAGAAAAUAGAUGACAUUGAAAAUAAGGGCGAGUUUCUACUCAUCAUGAUUCCAGAAGGUGGUUUUUUGGGGGCUGUAUUUUUUUUGGUUUAGGGGUUGAACCCGAUCAAAUUUCCAAACUCCUACUCAUAGAGCUCAUAUGCUACUCAAAAGUGAUGUAUGCCAAAUGAAUGAAGUUUUUUCAAGCAUUAAAUACUGAACCUAUACCUAUCUUACUAGGUAGUAACUUUUUCUUUGGAAUUUUUACAAAAAUAUGGCAAUUACAGUUGUAUUCAUUAAAUGACUAUAUGACUUAGAUUUUUUUUGAGAUCAUUAUCCUCCCAAUUUAAUAUUUAUAACACUAGCAGCUGUUCAUUAAAUAAAUUUUGAAAAUUUUAAAAAUUUGACCAAGGCUGUACCAAGAGAACACCUUUGCCAAAUUUCAAGAUAAUAUGUGAUGACAAGAUACAAACCCCAUGUUAAAUUGAUACGGAAUGACACACACGUAACAUCGAACAUCAGGAUUGAUUUUUUUGGGUUGCGUUAAUUGUACAUUGGAAAUAUUUUUUAAAACCAAUUAUUUAUUGUAUAGUAUAUUAAGAGAAAUAAAUAAACAAAACCUUAAAAAGACUUUUUUGGUUAACAAAUUCUAA